GGCAUUUCUCUGUAUAGAGAGCUACUAAGGGCAUACGACUAGGUGUCGAAUCCCAUACAUAUCAGAGUGCAUCACAUGUAUGCAUGACAUACUCGAUAUGCAUAGAUACAACAAUAGCAUCACAACAUAACCAUACAACAUCACAAUAUUUCUUUAGAAGACUCGGAAGAGUCUUGCAUAAUAAGUUCAUACAGGUAGGGGUCACAUGACCCGACACUCAAGUCAUACAAGCAAAGUCAUACAAACCAACCGGAAGCAUUAAAGUUGUCGGAGUACACACAAUUGAAAGGAAAAAGCAUAAAGCCUAACUAUCUACAGAUCCCUUCUGAUAGGGGCCAGGUCGUAGCUGGGACACCAGCUACUCGUCAUCAUCGAGGUCUAGGCAGAACCCACCUGUUGGCUUGUGGGUAUCUUCUACAACAUUUAUUAAACAAACAUGAGUACAAAGGUACUCAGCAAGACUUUAGAACAGAUCUAUCUACUCAUGCACAUGUAUCAAUAAAGGGGGUUGUGGAGUUUCAUGCAGCAAGCCAGCUUUGACUCUUGGCUAGACUAAACUACAAUUUUAAAUAGUUUUAAACAACUUUGAUAAGUAGUACACGUGUCCACUACCACCACAACAAUACACUAUCAUGGAUUCCUUUCCGUCUCCCUACGGAAAUACCAUACAUGAUACUCACACUUAUCUUGAUACUUUUAUGAGUAGCCAUUAAAGUUAUCUAUGAACAACAUAUCUCUCCAAGUAGUCCAUAUCCGCGGACGCUGCUAUUCGAAUAGAUCAUAACCCUAUAGGGGUGUACUUCUUCACACACGCACUCGCCACUUAUCGCCAUGUGCACGUCAUGCACCUCGGCAACCUUCAAGCGGAAGCCCAGCGAGGGAGUCGGCCACGACCGUUAACCACGCUAAAACCUAGUCUAGGUUUAUCGCCUAUUUGAGAGUGAACUCGCACGGAAGUCCAGCCAAGGUUUCCUCUACGGCCCCAAACGAUGUGCGCACGGUUCCCAAGCCCACCACCCGGGUGCCACUUGGUACACUGUGCCACUGCCUACUGCAUGACAGCCCACCUCUAAGGUCAACACCAUGCACGGCCACCAGCAUGACUAUAAACACCACAAACUACUUGCAACUCCUGUACCGAGUACUAGGCGAUUAAUAAGCCGAGAGGGUCGAGUUAUCGGAACCCAAUGUGUGGUAGUAUCUAGUCUUGGAUUACAUACAAGGAACUCAGUUCCUAAGGACGGUUCCAAUGAAACAACCCGCCAUGUACUCCUACAUAGCCUUUCAUCGGAACCUUUACCAAAUCAGGUUCCACACUUAUUCUUUGUCACUAGAACACAUUCAUCCAUUCAUGUUCAUCACCCAGAAGAAACUACCAGGUAUGCUAGGUUGCAAGGUUUGGCUAUUUACUGUGACAAUGACAGGUCAUGCAAAGGAAUAGGUUCAGCUACCGAAGUAAAGCAUUGGAAAUAUUUUGUCCUAAUGCAAUAAGUGGGAGCAGGAGCAGGAACAUGGGAUUAUAUCAGGAUGAUCAAAAGGGUGCUUGCCUUGUUGCUCAGGAGAAGGAUUAAAUCCUUCAGUCAGAUAUUCGGAGGUAUCCGGAAGGGCAGAGCCUACCGAAAUAAUAAUGACAAUCAAUAUCAUUNGAAGUCUAGCUAUUUUGGAGCUAACUAAGAUCUUUUCUAAUUUGCAGACCAACUCCGGCGCCAACUCUUCUAUUUCAUCUAGCACGCCAGGCGAUAGUUCUUUCGCACAAAGAGAACGGAAGAAAUAGCUCAGCUCUGCCAGUACUAGCCAUUCAUCCUCAGGGAUAAAGCCACGCAACAUCACUGGCAUUACCCGCUCAAUCCAUAUUGCCAAUCAUGACUCUUGAGCCCAAAUAUUUUCAAUUUCUCAAGACUCGCUCCCCUCUUUAGAUUCGCAGCAUACCCAUCGGGGAACAUCAACUGCAUUUUCACCCACAAUAGCAUUUCCCUCAUAGCUGGCCUUUCAAGAUUGAACCAUGCCUUUGGCUUCGCUAUGCUUUGCUUUCCUUUCCGUUGUCGCAAGUUUUGCAACGGUCUAUCACAUAGAGCCUCCAGGUCGAUUCUAGCCUUAGGAUUAUCUUUUGACUUCCCCUCUAUGCCGAACAAUGUACCAAAAAUGGCCUCCACAAUAUUCUUUUCAGUGUGCAUCACGUCAAUGUUGUGUGGGCAAAGGAGGUCUUUGAAGUAAGGGAGAUCCCAUAAGCAUGACUUGUGAGUCCAGGCGUGUUCCGUAUUAUACCCUUUGAAGUAUCCUGGACGCAAAGGAUCAGGCUCGAGAGCGUUUAACUGAUCAAGGGUCUGUUGGCCUGUCAACGCAGCUGGUGCAGUGUUUUUGACAAUUCUACCUUUGAUGAAAUUCUUCUUGUCUUUUCUGAACUUAUGGUCCGGAUCCAGGAAUUGUCUAUGCAUGUCGGAGCAAGAAUACUUGCGACCAGCCUGCAGCCAACGGAACUGAAGAGCUGCCUUGCAUGUGGUGCACGGUAACCUUCCAUGCACACACCAGCGAGCGAAUAGCGCAAACGCCGGAUAAUCAUGCGUCGAGUACAUGUACCACACAUGCAUUUUGAAAUUUGUUCUGGUAGCCGCAUCGUAGGUCUUGAUCCCAUUAUCCCAGGCUUCUUGCAACUCAUCCUUAAGCGGCUGCAUGUACACAUUCAUAUUCUUCCCCGGAUAGUUGGGCCCUGGAAUUAUCAACGUCAGGAAAAUGUUCUUUCUUUUCAUAAUCUCUCCGGGUGGCAAAUUUAGUGGAAUGACAAAUACAGGCCAACAACUGUAUUGUGUUGCCGUCAUACCAUACACAUUGAACCCAUCCGUGCUGAUGGCAACUCUAGGUUGCCUUGGAUCUUCCGAUUAAUCCUUAUGUAAUGCAUCGAAGUGCCUCCACGCAAAACCAUCUGAAGUGUGUACCAGCAUCUUGUUCCCAUCCGCAUCUAGUUCGGUUCUUUUGCCCAAUUUGUGCCAUGUCACCUGUCUGGCCGUCUCUUCGACCAUGAAAAGACGUUGAAGUCUUGGUACGAUUGGCAGAUAUCGAAGAGCACUAAUGGGGAUUUUGGUCAGAUUCUUCUCACCCAUGUCGUUGUCUACCACAAUAUACCUGGAAGAAUUGCAAAUGGGGCAAUAGUUCAAGGCCGCAUACUCAAGCCUAAAUAAGGCACAUCCAUUCUCACAGGCAUGUAUCUUCUCAUAGGGCAUCCUAAGUACAUGAAGUAUUUUUUCUGACCGAUACAGGUUUGUAGGCAUGACAUGGCCUUUGGGUAGAAAGGGUCCAAAUAGUGUCAUCAUCGUGUCGUAGCAUUCUGUUCCCAAGUUGAACUGAGCCUUCCGAGCCAUUACUUAUGCAAUGGCAGCCAGCUGACAAAGCUCAGUGUGCUCGUGGAGAGGACGUUUUGAAGACUCCAACAUUUCAUAGAAGGCAUUUGCAGAUUUCGUCAUCUCUUCGUUCAAAUCUCGAGAAUCAUCAAAGUCUUCCACCAUGUCUUCGAUCCCGGUACCAUGCUCAUCAGCGCGACGACGAACCACCUCAGCUCUGAUGCGUUGUACAAACUCACAUGAAAUGUCCACAUAGUAUAAUUAGGCUUAAACCCCCUCCUCUGCAGGUGUUUAAUCAUUACAGCAUUUGUCCUCUUUUUAUAGUUGUCACACUGUGGACAAGGGCACCAGUUUGUUUCCUAGCCAUUUGCAAAUGCAGCUUUCACAAAGUCGUUGGUUUUUAUAAACCAUUAUUUCAUCAUCUCUUUCGUCAAGGUUUCCUCACCAUAGACAAGUGUUGUCACUUGUUAUCGGGAUCACAUCAUUAGGAGAAUGAUCUGAUGGACAAGACCCAAACUAUAAACAUAGCAUAUGACCGUGUCAGUUUAUUGCUACUGUUUUCUGCAUGUCAAUGUUUUUGUUCCUAUGACCAUGAGAUCAUGCAACUCCCGGACACCGGAGGAAUACCUUGUGUGUAUCAAACGUUGCAACAUUACUGGGUGACUAUAAGGGUGCUCUACAGGUAUCUCCAAACGUGUCUGUUGGGCUGGCAUGGAUCGAAACUCGGAUUUGUCACUCCGUAUGACGGAGAGGUAUCUCGGGGCCCACUCGGUAAUAUCACAACAAGCCUUGCAAGCAAUGUGACUAAGGAGUUAGGCAUGGGAUCUUGUAUUACGGAACGAGUAAAGAGACUUGUCGAUAAUGAGAUUGAACUAGGUAUGGAGAUACCGACGAUCGAAUCUCGAGCAAGGAACAUAACGAAGGAAAAAGGGAACAACAUACGGGAUUAACCGAAUCCUUGACAUAAAGGUUCAACCGACAUAGAUCUUCAUAGAAUAUGUAGGAGCCAAUAUCUAAAUCCAGGUCCCGCUAUUGGUUAUUGACCGGAUAGUGUCUCGGGUCAUGUCUGCAUAGUUCUCGAACCCGCACGGUCUGCACACUUAAGGUUCGGUGACGAUUUGGUAUAGUUGAGUUAUAGGUGUUGGUGACCAAAGGUUGUUUGGAAGUCACACGGAGCUCCGGAAUGGUCCGUAGGUAAAGAUUGAUAUAUAGGAAGUCCUGUUUUGGUCAGUGGAAACAUUUUGGGAUCAUCGGUAGUGUACCGGGACUGUGGGAGGGUACUGGGGGACCACCGGGAGGGUUGUGACUCCCCAAGGGUUUCAUGGGCUGUGAUAAGAGGUGUACUAGCCCCUGUUGGGCUGUCCAAAGCCUCUCUCAAGGGCCCAUGUGGCUAGAAGAAGAGCUAAAAGGCAAAGAACUUUUAAAAGGAAGGGAAAGGAGGAGUCCUCCCAAAGUAAUCCACCUUCCCACAAGGAGGUUGACUCCUCCUUUGGUUCGGCCAACCCCUCUCCUUGGAGGAGGGGCCAAGGCAGCCUCCUCUCCUCUCCUCAUAUAUAUACUAGAGGUUUUGGGGGUUUUUGAGAUAGAAUAAUCAGCCACGUGUUGCCCUCUCUCUAGAUCUGUUUCUCCUCUAGUCUAGUUUUCAGCGGUGUUUAGGCGAAGUCGUGUUGGACUAGCUCCACCACCAUCGCCGUCAUGUCGUCGCGCUGACGGAGAACUCAUCUACCUCUCCGCCCCCUCUUGCUGGAUCAAGAAGGCGGAGAUCAUCAUCGAGUUGUACGUGUGAUGAACGCGGAGGUGUCGUCCGUUCGGCGCUAGAUCGGGACAAAGUUCGUGGGACGGUGUUGAUUUGGAUCACGAAGAUGUUCCACUACAUCAACCGUGUUAUAUACGCUUCCUCUUAGAGAUCUACAAGGUAAGUAGAUUCACUCUCCCCUCUCGUAGAUGAUCAUCACCAUGGAUAGGUAUUGGGUGUGCGUAGGAAAUUUUUGUUUCCCAUGCAACAUUCCCCAACAGUGGUAUCAGAGCUAGGUUCAUGCGUAGAUGGUAUCUCGAGUAGAACACAAAAGAGUUCGUGGUCGUUGAUGUUCAAUUUGCUGCCCUCCUUAGUGUUUUCUUGAUUCGGUCGCAUUGUUGGAUUGAAGCGGCCCGGACCAACUUUACUCGUACGCUUACGAGAGACCGGUUUCAUCGACUGACAUGCAACUUGUUGCAUAAAUAUGACUGGCGGGAGUCUGUUUCUUCAACUUUAGUUUAAUCAUAUUUGACCAAGGCGGUCCAUGGUUUUGUGUAACACCGUUGUAGUUUUGCAUAAGUAAAAUGCGAUCAUACUAGAUACCCAUAGGAGCCAUGUAAAACAUGCAACAACAAAUUAGAGGACGUCUAAAUUGUUUUUGCAGGGUAUGCAUGUGAUGUGAUAUGGACAAUGACAUGAUACGAUAUAUUGGAUGUAUGAGAUGAUCAUGUUGGAAUAGUUAAAUAUCGACUUGCGCGUUGAUGCUACGGCAUCCGGCAGGAGCCAUAGGGAUGUCGUUAAAAAAUUGUGCUUGUAGAUGCUCUUGUUAUAUUGCUAGGCAGUAACUUUAGUAGUAACAGCAUAGAGAACGCGACAACCUCGAUGGCAGCAUGAUGAUGGAGAUCAUGGUGCGGCGCCGGUUACGAUGGAGAUCAUGCCGGCGCUUUGGUGAUGGAGAUCAAGUAGCACAAGUUCAUGACCAUAUCAUGUCACUUAUGAUUUGCAUGUGAUGUUAAUAAUUUUAUGCACCUUAUUUUGCUUAGGACGACAGUAGCAUUAUAAGGUGAUCCCUCACUAAAGUUUCAAGAUAAAAUUGUGUUCUCCCCGACAGUGCACCGUUGCGACAGUUCGUCGUUUCGAGACACCACGUGAUGAUCGGGUGUGAUAGACUCAACGUUCACGUGCACCGUUGCGACAGUUCGUCGUUUCGAGACACCAUGUGAUGAUCGGGUGUGAUAAACUCAACGUUCACAUACAACGGGUGCAAAAUAGUGGCACACGCGGAACACUCGGGGUUAAACUUGACGAGCCUAGAAUGUACACACAUGGCCUCCGAACUUAAGAGACCGAAAAGUCGAGCAUGAAUCAUAUAGCUGAUAUGAUCAACAUUGAGAUGUUCAUCGUUGAAACUAUACUCAACUCACGUGAUGAUCGGACUUGAAUUAGUGAAUUCGUAUCAUGUGACACUCGAAUGACUAGAGGGAUGUCAAUUUGAGUUGGAGUUUAUUAGUAAUAUGAUUAGCUAAACUCAAUUAUCAUGAACAUAGUCCAAAGGUCCGAUGAGCAUUGAUCACUUAAGUAGAUACGGGUAUACAUACUGAUGUGUGUGGUCCGAUGAGCAUUGAUCACUUAAGUAGAUACGGGUAUACAUACUGAUUUGUGUGGUCCGAUGAGCAUUGAGGCACACGGUGGAUAUCGUUAUUUUCUCACUUCACUGAUCACUUAAGUAGAUAUUGGUAUAUUUACUUAAUGAGACACAAGUCUGAAAUGUUUGAAAAGUUCAAGCAAUUUCAGAGUGAAGUUGAGAAUCAUCUUAACAAGAAGAUUAAAUUCAUAUGAUCUGAUCGUGGAAGCAAAUAUGUGAGUUAUGAAUUUGGCACUCACCUAAGACAAUGUGGAAUUGUUUCACACUUGACACCGCCUCGAACACCACAGUGUAAUGGUGUGUCUGAACGUCGUAAUCGUACUUUAUUGGAUAUGGUGCAUUCUAUGAUGUCUCUUACCGAUUUGCCGUUAUCAUUUUGGGGUUAGGCGUUAGAGACAGGUACAGUCACUUUAAAUAGGGCACCAUCUAAUUCCUUUGAGACGAUGUCGUAUGGAUUGUGGUUUGGCAAGAAAGCAAAGUUGUCUUUUCUUAAAGUUUGGGUAUGCGAUGCCUAUGUCAAAAAGCUUCAUCGAGAAAAGUUGUAACCCAAAGCAGAGAAAUGUGUCUUUAUAGGAUACCCAAAAGAGAUAGUAGAGUAUACCUUCUAUCUCAGACCCGAAGGCAAAGUGUUUGUCGCUAAAAUUGGAACCUUUCUUGAGAAAGAGUUUCUCUCUAAAGAAAUGAGUGAGAGGAANNNNNNNNNNNNNNNNNNNNNNNNNNNNNNNNNNNNNNNNNNNNNNNNNNNNNNNNNNNNNNNNNNNNNNNNNNNNNNNNNNNNNNNNNNNNNNNNNNNNNNNNNNNNNNNNNNNNNNNNNNNNNNNNNNNNNNNNNNNNNNNNNNNNNNNNNNNNNNNNNNNNNNNNNNNNNNNNNNNNNNNNNNNNNNNUUUACUUCAACCAGAGAGUAGCGCAGCGUAGAAAGAUGUUUCUAUGGGGCCUACUUAAAUUGAAGAGGAAGCUAAUGAUGAUGAUCAUGGAGCUUUGGAUCAAGUUGCUAUCGAACCUCGUAGGUUAACAAGGGAACGCACUCCUCCUCAGUGGUAUUGUAACCUUGUCUUAAUAGUCAUGUUGUUGGACAACAGUGAACCUACGAGCUAUGGAGAAGCGAUGGUGGGCCCGAAUUCCAAAAAAUGUUUACAGGCCAUGAAAUCCGAGGUAGGAUCCAUGUAUGACAACAAGUUAUGAACUUUGGAAGUAUUACCUGAAGUGCGAAAGGACAUUCAGAAUAAACAAACAACACAUAACUUAUUAAUACCAAAUCAUCACCGAACCUAAAUUGUGCAAACCCCGCGGGUUCGAGUACUAUGCAUACAUAACCGAGAAACUCUCUGUUCAAUAACCAAUAGAGGGACCUGGAUGACCUUAUUAUCUCCUACAUAUUCUACGAAGAUCUUUAUUGGUCGAACCACGAUGUCAAGGAUUCAAUCAAUCCCGUAUACCGUUCCCUUUAUCCAUCGGUAUGUUACUUGCCCGAGAUUCAAUCAUCGAUAUCUAUAUACCGAGUUCAACCUCGUUACCCGCAAGUCUCUUUAAUCGUUCUGUAAUACAAGAUCUCGUGGUUAACUCUUUAAUAACAUUGCUUGCAAGCUUGUUGUGAUGUUGUAUUAUCGAGUGGGCCCUGAGAUACCUCUCCGUCACACGGAGUGACAAAUCCCAGUAUUGAUCAAUGCCAACUCAACAUACACCCUCGAAGAUUCCUGUAGAGCCUCUCUAAACUCACCAAGUUAUAUUGUGACGUUGAUACACACAAGGUACUCCUCCAGUGUCAGUGAGUUCCAUGAUCUCAUGGUCAUAGGAACAGAUACUUGACAUGCAGAAAGCCAUAGCAAUAAACUGACACACUCAUAUGCUACAUCCAUAGUUUGGGUCUUGUCCAUCACAUCAUUCUCCUAAUGAUGUGAUCCCGUUAUCAAAUGACAACGCAUGUCUAUGGCCAGGAAACCUUGACCAUCUUUGAUUGGUGCGCUAGUCCUUUACAUGCUCAAUAGGGACACUGUGUUGUCUAUGUACCUACAUAUGUAUUUGAGUUUCUAAUCAAUACAAUUCUAGCAUGGAUAAUAAACGAUUAUCAUGAACAAGGAAAUAUAAUAAUAACCACUUUAUUACUGCCUCGAGGGCAUAUUUCCAACAAUCUCCCACUUGCACUAGAGUCAAUAACCUAGCUCACAUUCUUCUUAAAGAUCCAUUUAUUCCGAAUUGCCUUUCGCCCUUCAGGUAAUACUUCCAAAGUCCAUACUCUGUUUCAUACAUGGAUCCUACCUCAUAUUUCAUGGCCUCUAAACAUUUUUUGGUAUUCGGGCUCACCAUCGCUUCUCCAUAGCUUGUCCAACAACAUGACUGUUAAGACAGUUUUACCAUAUAAGUGAGGAGCAGUGCGUGCCCUUGUUGACCUACGAGGUUCGAUAGCAACUUGAUCCAAAGCUCCAUGAUCAUCAUCAUUACCUUCCUCUUCAAUUGAAAUAGGCCCCAUAGAAACAUAUUUUUGCGCUCCUCUACACUCUGGUUGAAGUAAANNNNNNNNNNNNNNNNNNNNNNNNNNNNNNNNNNNNNNNNNNNNNNNNNNNNNNNNNNNNNNNNNNNNNNNNNNNNNNNNNNNNNNNNNNNNNNNNNNNNNNNNNNNNNNNNNNNNNNNNNNNNNNNNNNNNNNNNNNNNNNNNNNNNNNNNNNNNNNNNNNNNNNNNNNNNNNNNNNNNNNNNNNNNUUCCUCUCACUCAUUUUUUUCGAGAGAAACCCUUUCUCAAGAAAGAUUCCAUUUUUAGCGACAAACACUUUGCCUUCGGAUCUGAGAUAGAAGGUAUACCCUACUUUCUCUUUUGCGUAUCCUAUGAAGACGCAUUUCUCCGCAGUGGGUUCCAGCUUUUCUGGACGAAGCUUUUUGACAUAGGCAUCGCAUCCCCAAACUUUAAGAAAUGACAACUUUGCUUUCUUGCCAAACCACAGUCCAUACGGCUUUGUAUCAAAUGAUUUAGAUGGUGCCCUAUUUAAAGUGAAUGUAGUUGUCUCUAAUGCAUAACCCCAAAAUUAUAACAGAAUAUCGGCAAGAGACAUCAUAGAACGCACCAUAUCCAAUAAAGAAUGAUUACGACGUUCAGACACACCAUUACACUGUGGUGUUCGAGGCGGUGUCAACUGUGAAACAAUUCCACAUUGUCUUAGGUGAGUGCCAAACUCAUAACUCAGAUAUUUUCUUCCUUGAUCACCUCAUAGGAAUUUAAUCUUCUUGUUAAGAUGAUUCUCAACUUCACUCUAAAAUUGCUUGAAAUUUUCAAACAUUUCAGACUUGUGUUUCAUUAAGUAAAUAUACCCAUAUCUACUUAAGUGAUCAGUCAAGGUGAGAAAAUAACGAUAUCCAUCGCAUGCCGCAAUGCUCAUCGGACCACACACAUCAGUAUGUGUGAUUGAGACUUGUCGGUAACGAGAUUGAACUAGGUAUGAAGAUACUGACGAUCGAAUCUCGGGAAAGUAACAUACCGAAGGUAAAAGGGAACAACAUACCGGAUUAACUCAAUCCUUGACAUAAAGGUUUAACCGAUAGAGAUCUUCGUAGAAUAUGUAGGAGCCAAUAUGGACAUCCAGGUCCCGCUAUUGGUUAUUGACCGAAGAGUGUCUCACAUUACUGGAAUCAGAAAAUUUGCCAUCUGCCGGGUCUUUUCUGUCUGCUGGUUGAUGGCAAAGAAUCUCUUUGCCGUCAGCUACCAAAAAAUUGAUGGCAAAGAUCUCACAGAUGGCAAAGAAGUGCUUUGCCAUGAGUCGCUUCUUUGCCGUCAGCUAGCGGACGGCAAAGAUGGACCGAGCUGAUGGCAAAGACAUGGCUGAUGGCAAAGACAUGGCUGACGGCAAAGAUGACCCAUGCAGACGGCAAAGAAAAAUCGCAGUUGUAGCCAUUACGUUUGCCAUCUGCCGGCUCUUUGCCGUCCGCCAAAAGCUCCUUUGUCGUCUGCNNNNNNNNNNNNNNNNNNNNNNNNNNNNNNNNNNNNNNNNNNNNNNNNNNNNNNNNNNNNNNNNNNNNNNNNNNNNNNNNNNNNNNNNNNNNNNNNNNNNNNNNNNNNNNNNNNNNNNNNNNNNNNNNNNNNNNNNNNNNNNNNNNNNNNNNCCUUUGUCGUCUGCCUGGGAGCACAGCGGACGGCAAAGACAUCAACCCACUAACGGCAGCCCAGUGUAACGCUCCAACCCCACCUCGUUGUUUCAAAAAAAAAAACCCACCUCGUCGCCCUCCUCCCGCACGCUCCCUCCCCCAUCCAGCUUGCGCCCACCGGUCGGCGCCUCCCCGCCCUCCCCACCGGCCGGCNCAUCGGCUCCCCUCCCCAUCGGCUCCCCCCUGCAGGCCGCACCACUCCUCCGAUCCGGCCACGCCGUUAGGAGCACGAGCAGCCUCCCUGACGCUCCUCCUCGCCCCGGAUGCCCUGGAGCCUCGUCGCCACCCCCCUCCAUCGCCCGCACCCUCCUCCGCCGCCCCAUCCCGCCGGCGACUUCGCCACCUAGCCGGAGCAGCCACCUCCCCGGAGGAACUCCUCUCCCCUGCCAGCAAAAACGGUGAGAUUCAUCUGUAUAGGAGAAAAUGAAGAAAAUGAGUUCGUAAUGCUAUUUACCAUCAAUUUGGUAGUAACUAGAGGGCAGCAGCGGCACUAUUUUACAACUCCAUCUAUUAUCUAUAUUCAAAGGUGACCCUACAUGAAUAUGAGAGAACAAAUUGAGUUCUGGUUACCUUGCCAUUGCAACUACAAGUGUCUUGCAGUACACAACAAGAAACUAUCCUCGUGUUCUUGAAAUUUAAAUCUUUUUUAGAAUUUUUUACCUCUCAUCAAUCCAUCAUUGAACACAUAUAUCCACUACUGCCCAUAACUGGUUGGAAAACCUGAUAACUCUAGCCUCCUGACGGAGUGCAGAGUAAACAGCACCUAUGCGCAAUGUCCGUUUGUUCCAAGACACACAUGCAAAAUUCAGAGAUAUCAUGCUAUGGUCUAGGGAUGACUCUGAUUCCUGAACUGAAGAUGAACGAAACAAUAAGCCAAAGUGCAAAUCUUACCUGGAUCACCUUGCUGCCAUCUUCCAUAGUAAAAAGCAUAGGAAAUUGCCAACUGAAAUCGCACCAAUUAGAGAACAACCUGAAAGAACAACAAGUGCCUCAUAAAAAUAAAUCCGUGGAGAGCUCCACUUGCAAUGAAACCACUGCGAUCUUUAUGCAUUUCAUAAUUUAUCAGUGCAAUUUAGCAAUUGGGCCUCAUAAAAAACAGUUGCAAAAAGCAGCGGCUGCCCUUUCAUCAAACAUCUUCCAUAGUCUUUCUCAUGGCCGCCAUACCUCAAGGCCGGCAGAUCCCCUAUGACGGAGAGAGGAAGAGAGAGACUUAGAGAGAGGGGGAGAGAGUGUGGAAUGGAUUGGGGACUCACCAACGCGCGGAGCUCCAGGACCAGAACAAAAGGGAAGCCAGCCCCGAUAACCUCCUUCCCCCAAGAUGGUGCACACACAGGUGCAGGCCUCCUAUUCAGUGCCGAGGAGGAGGUAGACUGGCCGCAACAGUGGCGCGACGAAUCAAGCUCCUCCAGUCGAGCACCGAGCGAGGCGACAACGAGAAAAGCGGGAGGAUACAGGCAUGUGGCCGCGCGAGGGAGGCACCCCCGAGUGGCACAACAUCACUUGGUCUUCUUCAUCGUGGGCGAGGACAGGCGCCGGCAGAGAUCGUGAUGGUUGGACAAGGAGAGAAGGGAACGCAUCAGGACAGAGGGGUUGGCGUGAUGGCCUGAGGUAGCUUCUCCAUGAAGGAAAGCUGGCUACGUGGGCCAAUGUCAACAAGCUGCCAAGCAGACAAGUUUUUCCAAUCGCUGGCCUGAAUUUUUUUUCUCUUCUCCUGCCCAAUAGCUAGGGGAUGACGUGGAUAGCGGGAGGAGGCACUCUUGCAGUGUAGCUUAUUGUAUUUGAUUCUUGGACACAUGACACAUCAUACCUACACAAAUAAAAUAUUCUCAUGCUAAUAUCUAUUCUCUUUGAAUAAAUGAUACAAAAUAAAGGAGGUGACACCUUCGAAUAUGUAGAAU
rnacentral:lncRNA from 1 species